rnacentral:rRNA from 1 species
GACGAACGCUGGCGGCGUGCUUAACACAUGCAAGUCGAACGGUAAGGCCCUUCGGGGUACACGAGUGGCGAACGGGUGAGUAACACGUGGGUGAUCUGCCCUGCACUUCGGGAUAAGCCUGGGAAACUGGGUCUAAUACCGGAUAGGACUCCGGACUGCAUGGUCUGGGGUGGAAAGCUUUUGCGGUGUGGGAUGGGCCCGCGGCCUAGCAGCUUGUUGGGGGGGUGAUGGCCUACCCAGGCGACGACGGGUAGCCGGCCUGAGAGGGUGACCGGCCACACUGGGUCUGAGAUACGGCCCAGACUCCUACGGGAGGCAGCAGUGGGGAAUAUUGCACAAUGGGCGCAAGCCUGAUGCAGCGACGCCGCGUGAGGGAUGACGGCCUUCGGGUUGUAAACCUCUUUCAGCAUCGACGAAGCGAAAGUGACGGUAGGUGCAGAGGAAGGACCGGCCAACUACGUGCCAGCCGCCGCGGUAA